rnacentral:lncRNA from 1 species
UUAAAAUAGUUGAAAUGUACGACAUGUCUACAAACAUUUGUGAAAUAAUGGUCAACCAAAUCGUGAUCAUGGUGAUGGUAACCAAUUUUGUUGUUGUAAAUGAUGAAUUCCUCAAUACAGACUUCAGGAUUAAAAUGUUGUGCCCCGUUAAAUCAAAAACAUAUAUAUAAUCAUGGUACCUAUAUUUAACCCAUUCCUUAAACCAAACAGUAAGUCCC